rnacentral:RNase_P_RNA from 1 species
UAAGUAAAUUGCCUUAUCGCUGUUCAAUUUAUUGAAUGGAGGAAAGUCCGAACACCAUAGUGCAACAUAGUGGUUAACAGCCACCAGUCGUGAGAUUAGGAAAAGUGCAACAGAAAGAAUGUACAGGUAAUGCUGUAGUGAAAUCAGGUAAACUCUAUGUGGUGCAAUGUCAUGUAAACCAACGUUUGAGAGUUGCACGCUCGAUGUUGGAGGGUAGGCAGCUAAAGUGAAUUGGCAACAACUCACUCAGAUAAAUGAUAGGGACUCUUUUGAGUACAGAAUUCGGCUUAUAGAUUUACUUACAUA